GGUUAAGCGACUAAGCGUACACGGUGGAUGCCCUGGCAGUCAGAGGCGAUGAAGGACGUGCUAAUCUGCGAAAAGCGUCGGUAAGGUGAUAUGAACCGUUAUAACCGGCGAUGUCCGAAUGGGGAAACCCAGUGCAAUUCGUUGCACUAUCGUUAACUGAAUACAUAGGUUAACGAGGCGAACCGGGGGAACUGAAACAUCUAAGUACCCCGAGGAAAAGAAAUCAACCGAGAUUCCCCCAGUAGCGGCGAGCGAACGGGGAGCAGCCCAGAGUCUGAAUCAGCUUGUGUGUUAGUGGAACGGUCUGGAAAGUCCGACGGUACAGGGUGAUAGUCCCGUACACCAAAAUGCACAGGCUGUGAACUCGAAGAGUAGGGCGGGACACGUGGUAUCCUGUCUGAAUAUGGGGGGACCAUCCUCCAAGGCUAAAUACUCCUGACUGACCGAUAGUGAACCAGUACCGUGAGGGAAAGGCGAAAAGAACCCCGGCGAGGGGAGUGAAAAAGAACCUGAAACCGUGUACGUACAAGCAGUGGGAGCACCUUCGGGUGUGACUGCGUACCUUUUGUAUAAUGGGUCAGCGACUUAUAUUCUGUAGCAAGGUUAACCGUAUAGGGGAGCCGCAGGGAAACCGAGUCUUAACUGGGCGUUAAGUUGCAGGGUAUAGACCCGAAACCCGGUGAUCUAGCCAUGGGCAGGUUGAAGGUUGGGUAACACUAACUGGAGGACCGAACCGACUAAUGUUGAAAAAUUAGCGGAUGACUUGUGGCUGGGGGUGAAAGGCCAAUCAAACCGGGAGAUAGCUGGUUCUCCCCGAAAGCUAUUUAGGUAGCGCCUCGUGAACUCAUCUUCGGGGGUAGAGCACUGUUUCGGCUAGGGGGUCAUCCCGACUUACCAACCCGAUGCAAACUACGAAUACCGAAGAAUGUUAUCACGGGAGACACACGGCGGGUGCUAACGUCCGUCGUGAAGAGGGAAACAACCCAGACCGCCAGCUAAGGUCCCAAAGUCAUGGUUAAGUGGGAAACGAUGUGGGAAGGCACAGACAGCCAGGAUGUUGGCUUAGAAGCAGCCAUCAUUUAAAGAAAGCGUAAUAGCUCACUGGUCGAGUCGGCCUGCGCGGAAGAUGUAACGGGGCUAAACCAUGCACCGAAGCUGCGGCAGCGACACUAUGUGUUGUUGGGUAGGGGAGCGUUCUGUAAGCCUGCGAAGGUGUGCUGUGAGGCAUGCUGGAGGUAUCAGAAGUGCGAAUGCUGACAUAAGUAACGAUAAAGCGGGUGAAAAGCCCGCUCGCCGGAAGACCAAGGGUUCCUGUCCAACGUUAAUCGGGGCAGGGUGAGUCGACCCCUAAGGCGAGGCCGAAAGGCGUAGUCGAUGGGAAACAGGUUAAUAUUCCUGUACUUGGUGUUACUGCGAAGGGGGGACGGAGAAGGCUAUGUUAGCCGGGCGACGGUUGUCCCGGUUUAAGCAUGUAGGCUGAUUGUCCAGGCAAAUCCGGAUAAUCAAGGCUGAGGUGUGAUGACGAGGCACUACGGUGCUGAAGUAACAAAUGCCCUGCUUCCAGGAAAAGCCUCUAAGCAUCAGGUAACAUUAAAUCGUACCCCAAACCGACACAGGUGGUCAGGUAGAGAAUACCAAGGCGCUUGAGAGAACUCGGGUGAAGGAACUAGGCAAAAUGGUGCCGUAACUUCGGGAGAAGGCACGCUGGUGUGUAGGUGAAGUCCCUGCGGAUGGAGCUGAGACCAGUCGAAGAUACCAGCUGGCUGCAACUGUUUAUUAAAAACACAGCACUGUGCAAACACGAAAGUGGACGUAUACGGUGUGACGCCUGCCCGGUGCCGGAAGGUUAAUUGAUGGGGUUAUCCGUAAGGAGAAGCUCUUGAUCGAAGCCCCGGUAAACGGCGGCCGUAACUAUAACGGUCCUAAGGUAGCGAAAUUCCUUGUCGGGUAAGUUCCGACCUGCACGAAUGGCGUAAUGAUGGCCAGGCUGUCUCCACCCGAGACUCAGUGAAAUUGAACUCGCUGUGAAGAUGCAGUGUACCCGCGGCAAGACGGAAAGACCCCGUGAACCUUUACUAUAGCUUGACACUGAACAUUGAGCCUUGAUGUGUAGGAUAGGUGGGAGGCUUUGAAGCGUGGACGCCAGUCUGCGUGGAGCCAACCUUGAAAUACCACCCUUUAAUGUUUGAUGUUCUAACGUUGGCCCCUGACCGGGGUUGCGGACAGUGUCUGGUGGGUAGUUUGACUGGGGCGGUCUCCUCCCAAAGCGUAACGGAGGAGCACGAAGGUUAGCUAAUCCUGGUCGGACAUCAGGAGGUUAGUGCAAUGGCAUAAGCUAGCUUGACUGCGAGCGUGACGGCGCGAGCAGGUGCGAAAGCAGGUCAUAGUGAUCCGGUGGUUCUGAAUGGAAGGGCCAUCGCUCAACGGAUAAAAGGUACUCCGGGGAUAACAGGCUGAUACCGCCCAAGAGUUCAUAUCGACGGCGGUGUUUGGCACCUCGAUGUCGGCUCAUCACAUCCUGGGGCUGAAGUAGGUCCCAAGGGUAUGGCUGUUCGCCAUUUAAAGUGGUACGCGAGCUGGGUUUAGAACGUCGUGAGACAGUUCGGUCCCUAUCUGCCGUGGGCGCUGGAGAAUUGAGGGGGCUGCUCCUAGUACGAGAGGACCGGAGUGGACGCAUCACUGGUGUUCGGGUUGUCAUGCCAAUGGCACUGCCCGGUAGCUAAAUGCGGAAGAGAUAAGUGCUGAAAGCAUCUAAGCACGAAACUUGCCCCGAGAUGAGUUCUCCCUGAGACUUUAAGUCUCCUGAAGGAACGUUAAAGACGAUGACGUUGAUAGGCCGGGUGUGUAAGCGCAGCGAUGCGUUGAGCUAACCGGUACUAAUGAACCGUGAGGCUUAACCUU
rnacentral:rRNA from 1 species